GACGAACGCUGGCGGCGUGCCUAAUACAUGCAAGUCGAGCGAAUCAAUGGGAGCUUGCUCCCUGAGAUUAGCGGCGGACGGGUGAGUAACACGUGGGUAACCUGCCUGUAAGACUGGGAUAACUUCGGGAAACCGGAGCUAAUACCGGAUACUUUCUUUUCUCGCAUGAGGGAAGAUGGAAAGAUGGUUCUGCUAUCAUUUACAGAUGGACCCGCGGCGCAUUAGCUAGUUGGUGAGGUAACGGCUCACCAAGGCAACGAUGCGUAGCCGACCUGAGAGGGUGAUCGGCCACACUGGGACUGAGACACGGCCCAGACUCCUACGGGAGGCAGCAGUAGGGAAUCUUCCGCAAUGGACGAAAGUCUGACGGAGCAACGCCGCGUGAGCGAAGAAGGCCUUCGGGUCGUAAAGCUCUGUUGUUAGGGAAGAACAAGUACGAGAGUAACUGCUCGUACCUUGACGGUACCUAACCAGAAAGCCACGGCUAACUACGUGCCAGCCGCCGCAGUAAUAC
rnacentral:rRNA from 1 species